rnacentral:rRNA from 1 species
GACAGAGGGUGCAAACGUUGUUCGGAAUUACUGGGCGUAAAGCGCGUGUAGGCUGCUCGGAAAGUCGGAUGUGAAAGCCCUGGGCUUAACCUAGGAAGUGCAUUCGAAACUUCCGAGCUGGAGUCCUGGAGAGGAAGGCGGAAUUCUCGGUGUAGAGGUGAAAUUCGUAGAUAUCGAGAGGAACACCGGUGGCGAAGGCGGCCUUCUGGACAGUGACUGACGCUGAGACGCGAAAGCGUGGGGAGCAAACAGG